rnacentral:piRNA from 1 species
UAUCCUAAGCUGUGAAGACAGGCCUGGU